UACGUAGGUGACAAGCGUUGUCCGGAUUUACUGGGCGUAAAGAGCGCGCAGGCGGUCGUUCAAGUCGAGUGUGAAAGCCCCCGGCUCAACUGGGGAGGGUCACGCGAUACUGUUCGACUUGAAGGCAGGAGAGGGAAGUGGAAUUCCCGGUGUAGUGGUGAAAUGCGUAGAUAUCGGGAGGAACACCAGUGGCGAAGGCGACUUCCUGGCCUGUUCUUGACGCUGAGGCGCGAAAGCUAGGGUAGCAAACGGG
rnacentral:rRNA from 1 species